rnacentral:rRNA from 1 species
UACGAAGGGGGCUAGCGUUGCUCGGAAUCAUUGGGCGUAAAGGGCGCGUAGGUGGCCCGGUGAGUCUUUGGUGAAAGCGCGGGGCUCAACCCUGCGUCGGCCAGGGAUACUGCCGCGGCUCGAGCACUGUAGAGGCAGGCGGAAUUCCGGGUGUAGCGGUGGAAUGCGUAGAGAUCCGGAAGAACACCGGUGGCGAAGGCGGCCUGCUGGGCAGUGGCUGACGCUGAGGCGCGACAGCGUGGGGAGCAAACAGG